GAGUGAGGUAGGCCAAUGAACAGCAGAACAAAGUGACAGACACAAACAUAACCCAGCCCUGGAGGAUCGGCACGGGGACGUUUGAGGAGGCCACGAGAAUCCAAACCAAACCCCCAAAGGCCUGGGAAACAGAACAGAAGAUGAAUGAUAUCAGGGUGUGGAGGAGAAACAGUAGAGCUGGAGAUUUGUUUUGAAGUUCAACAGUGCUGCUGUAUGAGGGCUGGAGCUCUAACAGGAGAACAGGUGAAGCAGGAAAAAUCAGAUAAUCCCAUGUAAAUCGAGUUAACACACAGUAAAUAAACUAGCAGCAUGUUUUAUUUGUUUUAGUGUUAUCUGUAUAUUUAUUUAAACAUUAUACUCUUUGGAAACUUCAGUGGUUUUGAUUCUGGUUGCUGAUAAUUAACUGUUCUGUCGAUGAGUAAAUAAUUCACAAUAUCCAAUUUUAUUCUUCAACCUUCUCAUUCAUUUAAUGGUUAUUCAUUUCUUUAUGUGUGAACAGGACAAAUAUCACUGUACAAGGAAAGCUUGCUCAUGUCACCAUAAAGUUCUUGAAUCUUGAAAUUGGGAUUUUAAUGAGAUUUGGUUUCGAGAUCUAAAGGUUUUAUAGACAAAUAAACAGCAGAUUCAACAGAUCAUAAACAUUUCUGUUCAUAAACACUGUAAUAUAUUACGCAUAACAAAUGACAGAGCUGAGGCUAAGAACACAGCUAGUGUCCUGUGAAAGAGCAUCUGAAGAAGUGUUUUUGUCUGUUAUCUGGUAAAGUGUAAAAGUGUACUGUAAGUAAGUGUAAAAGCUCAACAUUAAUAUCUUCUUAGUAUCUCUAUCUGAUUAACAUUUAGCGCUUGGGCCUUUUUAGAAAAGAGCUCCUUUAAGAAAUCUUUUGCUUGCUAACUUUUUGGUGUGUGACCGAGAUUUUGACGUUCAUGUGACGUUCCUCAGAGGAGAAGCGCGAGUGUGAAAUCAUGUGUGUGAGCACCUCGGUAUGGUUCCCUCUUCACCCCCUACAGGAGAACACACACUUACUAUCUCCAUGCAGAUCAGAGCUCCUGAGUAGGUCCGUAUGACAUCCAGCCCCAGCGGCAGGGAUAUGGUGGGUGCCGGGAAUGAGGUGGCCGCCGGGUUCGUUGCUUCUGCCAUCGUUCUGUAGUGGAACAGCAAGCAAGUGAGUGAAAGAGAGAAAGAGAGAGAGAGAAAGACAGGAGUGGAAGAAAUUCCGCAAGUGUCACGUGAUAUGCAGAACCGGUCCUGCAGGUGUGUGUGUGUGGAGCCACUCCUGCCCUCUGUCCUCAGUGUGGAAUGCAGGAGAGGACAAAAAGGCGUCUCAGCGUGUUAAUGAUUAACACAAAGCCUCAGCAUGGAACCGCUCUCGGGUCAAUAUUGUGUUAAGACAAUCGGAGGAGAUAACGAGCUCUCAGAAGGUGCUGACGUCAUCAGGUGAUGCUGAAGGACAUGUAAUUCGGGAUGAAAAAAAUUAAGACUUAACUGAAAAAAAUGGAGUAAAUUCAGUCUGUAUGAAGAGAAAUAAAACCCUUCAUGCUGUGUGUAUUAUUAUUAUUAUUAUUAUUAUUAUUAUUAUUAUUAUUAUUAUUAUUAUUAUUACAAUUCUAACAUCUGUGUGUUUGAUGUAUUCAUCUUUUCUUCAUAUAUAACUUAAACAUAGCUGAAAAACAGUUAGAGAUGAAUUAAUUAUUAGCCAAAAUCAACUCACUCAAUGUGUCAUUGACCUUUUAACCACACACACACACACACACACACACACACACACACACACACACACACACACACACACACACACACACACACACACACAGAUCUCAACACGAUAA